rnacentral:rRNA from 1 species
UGGGGAAUAUUGGACAAUGGGCGAAAGCCUGAUCCAGCCAUGCCGCGUGUGUGAAGAAGGUCUUCGGAUUGUAAAGCACUUUAAGUUGGGAGGAAGGGCAUUAACCUAAUACGUUAGUGUUUUGACGUUACCGACAGAAUAAGCACCGGCUAACUCUGUGCCAGCAGCCGCGGUAAUACAGAGGGCGCAAGCGUUAAUCGGAAUUACUGGGCGUAAAGCGCGCGUAGGUGGUUUGUUAAGUUGGAUGUGAAAGCCCCGGGCUCAACCUGGGAACUGCAUCCAAAACUGGCAAGCUAGAGUACGGUAGAGGGUGGUGGAAUUUCCUGUGUAGCGGUGAAAUGCGUAGAUAUAGGAAGGAACACCAGUGGCGAAGGCGACCACCUGGACUGAUACUGACACUGAGGUGCGAAAGCGUGGGGAGCAAACA